rnacentral:rRNA from 1 species
CGGGACGGGUGAGUAAUGUCUGGGAAACUGCCUGAUGGAGGGGGAUAACUACUGGAAACGGUAGCUAAUACCGCAUAACGUCGCAAGACCAAAGAGGGGGACCUUCGGGCCUCCUGCCAUCGGAUGUGCCCAGAUGGGAUUAGCUAGUAGGUGGGGUAACGGCUCACCUAGGCGACGAUCCCUAGCUGGUCUGAGAGGAUGACCAGCCACACUGGAACUGAGACACGGUCCAG